rnacentral:rRNA from 1 species
GACGAACGCUGGCGGCGUGCUUAACACAUGCAAGUCGAACGGAAAGGCCUGCUUUCCCUUGUGGAUUGCGGGUACUCGAGUGGCGAACGGGUGAGUAACACGUGAGUGAUCUGCCCCCAACUUGGGUAUAAGCCUGGGAAACUGGGUCUAAUUCCCGAUAGGACUGCAGGGUGGUGCCUGUGGUGGAAAACGAUUUUCUAGUGGUUGGGGGUGAGCUCGCGGCCUAUCAGCUUGUUGGUGGGGUAAUGGCCUACCAAGGCGGCGACGGGUAGCCGGCCUGAGAGGGUGGACGGCCACAUUGGGACUGAGAUACGGCCCAGACUCCUACGGGAGGCAGCAGUGGGGAAUAGUGCACAAUGGGCGGAAGCCUGAUGCAGCGACGCCGCGUGGGGGAUGACGGCCUUCGGGUUGUAAACUCCUUUCGACCGCGAGGAAGCCACCUGGUUGGAAGGGUGGUGACGGUAGUGGUAGAAGAAGCACCGGCUAACUACGUG